GACGAACGCUGGCGGCGUGCUUAACACAUGCAAGUCGAACGGAAAGGCCCUGCUUUUGUGGGGUGCUCGAGUGGCGAACGGGUGAGUAACACGUGAGUAACCUGCCCUUGACUUUGGGAUAACUUCAGGAAACUGGGGCUAAUACCGGAUAGGAGCUCCUGCUGCAUGGUGGGGGUUGGAAAGUUUCGGCGGUUGGGGAUGGACUCGCGGCUUAUCAGCUUGUUGGUGGGGUAGUGGCUUACCAAGGCUUUGACGGGUAGCCGGCCUGAGAGGGUGACCGGCCACAUUGGGACUGAGAUACGGCCCAGACUCCCACGGGAGGCAGCAGUGGGGAAUAUUGCACAAUGGGCGGAAGCCUGAUGCAGCAACGCCGCGUGCGGGAUGACGGCCUUCGGGUUGUAAACCGCUUUCGCCUGUGACGAAGCGUGAGUGACGGUAAUGGGUAAAGAAGCACCGGCUAACUACGUGCCAGCAGCCGCGGUGAUACGUAGGGUGCGAGCGUUGUCCGGAUUUAUUGGGCGUAAAGGGCUCGUAGGUGGUUGAUCGCGUCGGAAGUGUAAUCUUGGGGCUUAACCCUGAGCGUGCUUUCGAUACGGGUUGACUUGAGGAAGGUAGGGGAGAAUGGAGUUCCUGGUGGAGCGGUGGAAUGCGCAGAUAUCAGGAGGAACACCAGUGGCGAAGGCGGUUCUCUGGGCCUUUCCUGACGCUGAGGAGCGAAAGCGUGGGGAGCGAACAGGCUUAGAUACCCUGGUAGUCCACGCUGUAAACGGUGGGUACUAGGUGUGGGGUCCAUUCCACGGGUUCCGUGCCGUAGCUAACGCUUUAAGUACCCCGCCUGGGGAGUACGGCCGCAAGGCUAAAACUCAAAGGAAUUGACGGGGCCCCGCACGAGCGGCGGAGCAUGCGGAUUAAUUCGAUGCAACGCGUAGAACCUUACCUGGGUUUGACAUGGAUCGGGAGCGCUCAGAGAUGGGUGUGCCUCUUUUGGGGUCGGUUCACAGGUGGUGCAUGGCUGUCGUCAGCUCGUGUCGUGAGAUGUUGGGUUAAGUCCCGCAACGAGCGCAACCCUUGUUCACUGUUGCCAGCACGUUAUGGUGGGGACUCAGUGGAGACCGCCGGGGUCAACUCGGAGGAAGGUGGGGAUGACGUCAAGUCAUCAUGCCCCUUAUGUCCAGGGCUUCACGCAUGCUACAAUGGCUGGUACAGAGAGUGGCGAGCCUGUGAGGGUGAGCGAAUCUCGGAAAGCCGGUCUCAGUUCGGAUUGGGGUCUGCAACUCGACCUCAUGAAGUCGGAGUCGCUAGUAAUCGCAGAUCAGCAACGCUGCGGUGAAUACGUUCCCGGG
rnacentral:rRNA from 1 species